GACGUAGGGCGCGAGCGUGUCCGGAUUUAUUGGGCGUAAAGAGCUCGUAGGCGGCUUGUCGCGUCGAAUGUGAAAACUCGGGGCUCAACUCCGAGCUUGCAUUCGAUACGGGCAGGCUAGAGUUCGGUAGGGGAGACUGGAAUUCCUGGUGUAGCGGUGAAAUGCGCAGAUAUCAGGAGGAACACCGGUGGCGAAGGCGGGUCUCUGGGCCGAUACUGACGCUGAGGAGCGAAAGCGUGGGGAGCGAACAGG
rnacentral:rRNA from 1 species